CCAAAUCAAAAUCCCAAUGUUAAACUCUAACCCUUACCCAAACCAAAUUCAACAAUUAGCCAAUAUUGAUUGAAAUAAUGAAUUUGGAUUCCAACUUUAAAAAAUCCAGUGACUUGUAGUAAAUCGGUGGUUUAAGUUGAAUUUUCCAUGGACUUUGUUUUGAUUUGUUGUGGAGUUCACCUUUCAUUCUUGAUUUCUUGUGUGUAAAGUCUCAAAGAGGAGUUGACAAUGAUUUCUUAUACCGUGCUUUUGUGCUUGCUCUUAAGUUCAGCAACUUGCAGUAGGUCCUGGUAAGUAUAAGUUCAUUUCAUCUUAAUUAAGCAACAAUAAGUGGUGAUUAUAUUUGGUUUUGAAUCAGGUCUAUAAGUGAGUAUUAAUUGAGAAGAUAUGUGUAAAUGAUGGCUGGAAAAUAGUUGCUACAGACAAUGGGAUGGAGGUAUUGAAACGCUCGUUUGGUUCACACUUUUUGCAGCCGUUGAUUGCUCAAUUCUGCCUCGGUCCAGCAGUUUAUUACUGUUGCCAAUGCCAUCAUGCUGCAAAAGUGCAUGAUUCAUUAUAAAGAAUAGAGAAGAUCAGUGGGGUUGAAGACAUUAAAGUGUUUUUUCACUCAAUUUCUUAUCGACAUAUUAACCAGCCAUUGUUCAACGAAUUGUAGAGGAGCUCGAGAAGAUAAUAUCGUUACUUAAAGGAGAGCUGAAGAAUGUUGAAGCAGAUAUGAUAUAAUGGGAAUUUUUGUCAUUAAAAAAGAUGAUCAAUGAUGGAGUUUAUAACAUUAUAUCGCAUAAUGUAACAUUUGUAAAACUUUAUUGUGCAUCAAUUUGUUUUACAAGGUUUAUUUGUAAUGUUUGAACAUAUUUUGUUGUUCCAUUAUUAUAUUAUCAAUAGAAUAUUGCUACUAUUGUUUUCAUUAUCAUUAAAAAAGAUGAUCAAUGAUGGAGUUUAUAACAUUAUAUCGGAUAAUGUAACAUUUGUAAAACUUUAUUGUGCAUCAAUUUGUUUUACAAGGUUUAUUUGUAAUGUUUGAACAUAUUUUGUUGUUCCAUUAUUAUAUUAUCAAUAGAAUAUUGCUACUAUUGUUUUCAUUCCAUAUUUAAGAGAACAUAUCCAUCGUAACCAUAAGUGCUUUCACUGUGAUCAGGUCCGGGCGACUAUUUACCAAAAACACAGGUCUCCGCAAAGUCAUAAGACCAUGUAUGAGGGUUGACGCCUGCCCAGUGCCGAAAGGUCAAGGAAGUUGGUGACCUGAUGACAGGGGAGUCGGUGACUGAAGCCCCGGUGAACGACAGCCGUAACUACAACAGUCUUAAGGUAGCGAAAUUCCUUGUCGGGAAUCAGGCCCAGUUUUGGACCAAGGCCUACUAGCAGCCGCCUAGGGCCUCAUAAUUUAGAGGGGCCUCAUAAAAAAAAAUUUGGCCCAAAAUCCAACCGAAGACCCAUCUGAAACCUGCCCAAUUACUCAAAAUAACCAAUUUUACCGGCUAGAAGAGAUGGUUUAGGGCAGAUACGCUGAACGAUAGCAAAAUCACAAGCAAGUGUUCACAACUGAAGUAGAGUAGUAGAAGAAAUUACAAAUAAUCGGUGGGAGCAAGGACUUUCCAAUGGCCAGCUGCAUAUGCUUCCUUCUCUCUCUNGGAAGAUAUUUGGUCUCUAUAACCACUAGGUCCAACCUCUUUAUAGCGCAAUAUUGGUACAACGUUCAUGGUGGCCCUAGCGAGUGCAUGGCUCAAAUUAGGGACAACUUGGUACCCUACUUAGGUCCAUAGCUGAUAAUCAAGUGAGAUGUAGGGCUUCUUCCUCUUUAUCUUUGAGGAGGUAAGAGUCCUUGACCUAUCCUAUUGCGACCAUCAUCUCUUCAUUGAUUAUUUCACCUCUUAUCUUCACCAAUAAUAGUAGGUGGAAGUCUUCUUGUUGUGAACAUCCCUUCAGAAUAGGAUGUUCAUGUUAUGACCUCUUUAACAUGGCUCAACCUUUUUGUUGAGUAUACAGAGUUGCAUUAUCUUCAAAUGAUACUAAGUGUGAUCUUUUAUAAUAGACGACGUAUAAUAUUGAUCGUUGGAUGGAAAGACAUAUGGACUCAUCUCGAUGGUUGAGGUAUUUCCUCUUAUGCAUCAAUUCGUUAAUCUUAAAUUGAUUGACAUUUAAUGUUAUCUAAAAGGUGGCUACCCUAAAAUCUAGACCUGACCUCUAAAAAAUAGAUUGAUCAUUUGACCUUUUUGGCACCUACAGCAGAGACUUCAUAUCAAUCGUAGGAAGAUCUUAUACAAAGCAUCUCUUAAAAGAGGUGAAGUGGAAAACAGCUUUUAUUAAUCAAGUAGGUUAACUACUUCGAAGUUCUUCCAUGAAACAUGUGUAGCAUCUUGCUUGGCCAUGGCGGGUCAACCUUUUCGUGGCAUUUCGAUGGAAGUGAUACAUCACAUCGGCUAUCUUAUAUAUGGCGUCACCUCGGUAGAAUGGUGAUGUGCAGUGUGGGCCUAAUUGACUUACUAGCUAAUUGUUAUGUGGUAGUGAUCUACAGCCUCAUCAUAAGAAACAUAACAAUGGUUCCUCUAAUCCAUUUAUGGAUAUUUAUAUAAUUCUUGGACUUUCAGCGUCGGGUUAGAGGUGAAUUCAUUGUCAAGGUGAUGCGUUGACAUGAAGCAUUUUAUCUUUCAUUCACUAAGUGGUAUAAUAGUGCAUUUGAGCAUAAUAGUGUGGGUCUUAGUUAUCUUGUCAAUUAAUAAGUGUCUGACGUUCUAAAGUACUAAGUACUAAAAACUUUGAUGUAUUAAUUUUUUUUUUCAAACAUUUGAUGUUGCCUUUAUCAGUUUAUUAUUCCUUUCCCAAUUUCGCAAUUUUAAAUAAUUUAGAUAAUAUCAUUAAAAAGUAUUGAUAAACUAAAUACAUAUCAUUAAUAUUAGAACCCACUAAAAUUCCCCCCCCCCCUAAACAACACUUCGUCAUCUUCAUGAUCAAACAUGGUAUAUAAACAUAAUAAUUCAUUUAGGUUUUGUGGUUAAAAAUCUAAAUUAGAUCAAAACCUAAAUUAGAUUUAGGUUUUGAAAUUAAAAAUCUAAGUUAAUUAAUUAUAUAAUUAUAUUAGAGGGAAAUACUUGUUAUCGUAAUGGCUAAAAUAUCCUUGCCAAUUGAAUUUGGUGAAGGAGGGCACGUAUCUAUUUGCUGGAGGAAUGAUCAAAUUAGAUGGUAAGGAUACUUUACGAAAUGAAAGGUUGAUAUGAGAGAAAAAUUGAGUGGUGCCAACUCAGCUUAGUCCAUUGUCUUAACUUAUUGUCAUUGGUGUUUUAUUUAUUAUUAUUUUUUUAACAGAAAAUCGAUUUUAGAAUACUUCUACAAAGAUUUAUUUUAUGUACAUCGUGCAUGGAAGAAAUGAUUUUUUAAUAGCAAUCUGCAUUAGAAAAUCUAGGGAGCUAUAUUUUGAUUUUCAAAACGUAUUCAAUUCGAAAACACUAUCAUCUUAGAAACUUUUGUACACAUCUUAGAAAUUUUAGUGUUAAUGGCAAUUUGCACCUUAUACAUUUUCUCAGAGUACAAGUAGAAAAAAAUUGAAAGAUUAGAGGUCAAAAUGCAACUAAGCGAUAAAUUAGGGACUUCCAGUGCUAUUUUCAUAAUUUCUUUACAUUAGAAAAUCUAGGGAGCUAUAUUUUGAUUUUCAAAACGUAUUCAAUUCGAAAACACUAUCAUCUUAGAAACUUUUGUACACAUCUUAGAAAUUUUAGUGUUAAUGGCAAUUUGCACCUUAUACAUUUUCUCAGAGUAUAAGUAGACAAAAAUUGAAAGAUUAGAGGUCAAAAUGCAACUAAGCGAUAAAUUAGGGACUUCCAGUGCUAUUUUCAUAAUUUCUUUACAUUAAAGCAAUCACGCAUCACUGUCGCUCGGUAGUAGUGGUUACCUCCUCUUUCCGGUGCACAUAAACCCUAACGAAUCAUGUUACGAGUACAUAAUUUUUGACAGAAAAACCUUAUAGACAACAAAUAACGCGACAUCAUUGGAAGAUGGCAAAAAAAUAAUAAUCCAAUCACAUUUUGCCACGUUAGGUCGGUACAAGUUUUAUUAAAUUAUUCUUGUACUUAUGGCUAUAUUGAAUCCUAAACCUAGCACAACUUAGCAGCUACUUCGAUCAUUGUAAAUCCAAGAGUUAGAAAAGAAGAAGAAGAAGAAGAAGAAGAAGAAGAAGAACCGUUCUUAUAAUUAACAGAAUAUCAAUUAACGAAAAUAGGGAUCUUUAUAUCUUUUGAAGGAUUAAAUAAAUAUGGGUUUUUAUGAGAUGAUGAAGGUGAUUAUUAGAUGAGAUUUUGUUUCUAAUCUUGACUUGUAGUUUGAGUUAAUUAAAUGAUUGCUCACUGAAUUUUAUCCUAAUUUACUACUUACUCACUAAACAAAAAGAUUAUUCAUUCUUCACUGAUUUAUCCAAACGUUUACCAAUCUAUCACUCCUUCUAAAUUUAUUACCUGUAAUUGACGAAAAAUGCCAUGUGUAUGACAAAAAUAUCGUUAAUUUGUCCACUUGGAUAAAAAACACACUCAAUCAAAAUGACAACCUUUGUUUAAUUUGUGAAACACACUUCUUCUAAACCUUUAAAUCAAAAAUCCCCAAAUUAAAACACAAAAUUGCCCAAAUCAAAAUCCCAAUGUUAAACUCUAACCCUUACCCAAACCAAAUUCAACAAUUAGCCAAUAUUGAUUGAAAUAAUGAAUUUGGAUUCCAACUUUAAAAAAUCCAGUGACUUGUAGUAAAUCGGUGGUUUAAGUUGAAUUUUCCAUGGACUUUGUUUUGAUUUGUUGUGGAGUUCACCUUUCAUUCUUGAUUUCUUGUGUGUAAGGUCUCAAAGAGGAGUUGACAAUGAUUUCUUAUACCGUGCUUUUGUGCUUGCUCUUAAGUUCACCAUUUUGAUUUGCGGUGCUUGCUGAAGUUCAGCAACUUGCAGUAGGUCCUGGUAAGUAUAAGUUCAUUUCAGCUUAAUUAAGCAACAAUAAGUGGUGAUUAUAUUUGGUUUUGAAUCAGGUCUAUAAGCGAGUAUUAAUUGAGAAGACAUGUGUAAAUGAUGGCUGGAAAAUAGUUGCUACAGACAAUGGGAUGGAGGUAUUGAAACGCUCGUUUGGUUCACACUUUUUGCAGCCGUUGAUUGCUCAAUUCUGCCUCGGUCCAGCAGUUUCUUACUGUUGCCAAUGCCAAUGAUGCUGCAAAAGUGCAAAAUUCAUUAUAAAGAAUAGAGAAGAUCUGUGGGGUUGAAGACAUUAAAGCAUUUUUUCACUCAAUUUCUUAUAGACAUAUUAACCAGCCAUUGUUCAACGAAUUUUAGAGGAGCUCAAGAAGAUAAUAUUGUUACUUAAAGGAGAGCUGAAGAAUGUUGAAGCAGAUCUAGAUAUAAUGGGAAUUUUUAUCAUUAAAAAGAUGAUCAGUGAUGGGGUUUAUAACAUUAUAUCGCAUAAUGUAACAUUUGUAAAACUUUAUCGUGCAUCAAUUUGU
rnacentral:lncRNA from 1 species